AUUUAAAUAGCUUAUAUUUAGAGCAUAAUAUUGAAGAUAUUAAGGAAGUAUGAUACUUUUAAAUA
rnacentral:tRNA from 1 species